AGCGAACGCUGGCGGCAGGCCUAAUACAUGCAAGUCGAACGGCUCUUCGGAGCAGUGGCGGACGGGUGAGUAACGCGUGGGAACGUGCCCUUUGGUACGGAACAACUGAGGGAAACUUCAGCUAAUACCGUAUGUGCCCUUCGGGGGAAAGAUUUAUCGCCAUUGGAGCGGCCCGCGUUGGAUUAGCUAGUUGGUGGGGUAAAGGCCCACCAAGGCGACGAUCCAUAGCCGGUCUGAGAGGAUGAUCAGCCACACUGGGACUGAGACACGGCCCAGACUCCUACGGGAGGCAGCAGUAGGGAAUCUUGCGCAAUGGGCGAAAGCCUGACGCAGCCAUGCCGCGUGAAUGAUGAAGGUCUUAGGAUUGUAAAAUUCUUUCACCGGGGAAGAUAAUGACGGUACCCGGAGAAGAAGCCCCGGCUAACUUCGUGCCAGCCGCCGCGGUAA
rnacentral:rRNA from 1 species